CGAGGAAGAAGAUCAGGCGGGUCGUCGGGAGAUUGCGCCGCCGUCGUUCCUCCCUCGCCUUUGAUGGGAAUCCCGUUCCAGCUCCAAGCCCAACAGGGAUUACAGCAAGGGAGAGCCAUACUAUCAGAAACUAAAAUAAUGAUUAAAAAGGAAUCUUCUCCAUCUGAACCUGCCGGGGGGCAGCCCGCCAAAAACACAUCCAAUCCGUUGAAGCCAGCUAUGCCUGCAGCUGCCAAGG